AUCAGAUAAGGCAUGUUUGUGUGUAAUAUCGAAGUAUGAUCGCUGCAGUGUGCAAGUAUGGACUACUCAUCUUAUCGGCUUGCGAUAUUAUUAGCCAGUGAAAAAGAGGCACGACUGUCAUAAGAGGUUGCUUAAGCAGUAAACCAGGACGUGAAUUGAUGAAAGCUGUACCUUGAAUGAGUUUUGAAGGAUCCGCAGGCGGUGCAGCUUUUCAUUGAGUAACGGAUCAUUGCAGCGGCGGACGAAUGAUCGCUUGUACUCUAAUCGAGAAGAGGACCUGUGCUCAUUGACAGGCGAUAGACUAGUCCUCUCCAGAGCCCUGUACAAAUCCCCCAAUGAGUCAGCCUGGUGCCUGCGCUCCCGCUCGGGACCUACAGAGGGCGGUGAAGAGAGCCAGCCCUCACAAUCACCCUGACCCAAGUCCCUGCAGGAGAUUCGCCGCUUACUAAUGGAGGGCAGGGAUCCAGCUGAGAAGGACAAAGAGAGAGAGAGAGCAGAGACGUCAGCGUGGGCAAUAUAAAUGAAAGGACUGGCAGGAAUAGUAUCAAAACAGUGGCUUUUUGAUGUACUGCCAUAUAAUGGCAGAGAAAUGUCUUGACAUAGUAAUUACUCGGAGUGAGAAUGUGUGAUUGGAUUUGUGUAGGAAAGAAAUAACUGCACUGCACUGCAAAAAAAAAAAAAUCCUUUCUCAAUCAGUAUUUUGAGGAAAGAUAAAAAAGGGAAAAAUUCUGAAAACAAUUCUUAAAAUGAAUCAUUUUAGU